rnacentral:misc_RNA from 1 species
GAUGAAGAACGCAGCGAAAUGCGAUAAGUAAUGUGAAUUGCAGAAUUCAGUGAAUCAUCGAAUCUUUGAACGCACAUUGCGCCCGCCAGUAUUCAGGCGGGCAUGCCUGUUCGAGCGUCAUUUCAACCAUCAAGCCCCAGGCUUGUGUUGGGGACCUGCGGCUGCCGCAGGCCCUGAAAACCAGUGGCGGGCUCGCUGUCACACCGGGCGUAGUAGAUUUUAUCUCGCUCUGGGCGUGCUGCGGGUUCCGGCCGUUAAAAAACCCUUUUAACCCAAGGUUGACCUCGGAUCAGGUAGGAAUACCCGCUGAACUUAAGCAUAUCAAUAAGCGGAGGA